rnacentral:rRNA from 1 species
UACGUAGGGGGCAAGCGUUGUCCGGAAUCAUUGGGCGUAAAGAGCGUGUAGGCGGCCAGAAAAGUCCGCUGUGAAAACUCGAGGCUCAACUUCGAGCUGUCGGUGGAAACUUUCUGGCUAGAGUCCGGAAGAGGAGAAUGGAAUUCCUGGUGUAGCGGUGAAAUGCGCAGAUAUCAGGAGGAACACCGAUGGCGAAGGCAGGUCUCUGGGCAUUAACUGACGCUGAGGAGCGAAAGCAUGGGGAGCGAACAGG